rnacentral:misc_RNA from 1 species
UUUGAAAGAAGGAAAAAAAAAUGAGAGGAGAAUAUAUUAAACCACCAAUAAAUUCAUAUGCUUAAUUACUUUUUUGAUAGAACUAUUUUGAUAUUAUUGUUAUUUAUAAAAGAUAUAUUUUCAAAUAAGUUAAUUAAAUGUCAUUAAAAUAUAAUUUUUAAUUAAAUUUAAUAUAAUUUAAGCAUAAAAAUUGUUAAACUAUUUUUCAAUUUGUG